rnacentral:lncRNA from 1 species
AACAAUUUCCAAACAGAACUGAAUUUCUCUGAUAGAUUGAAAUACAAAAGUCAAAAAGGCUACUCCGGAUUGAGUUUCUCAAAACUAUGCACAUGUGAGGCUUAAUGUACCCAAAAAAACCCGGAUCAAAUCCAAUAGAAUGUCUGAAAAUCUUGCAGCGGCCUUGGCUAAUAGAUUGAGAUCCAAAAUCUAAAAGGGAGCUUAUAGGCGCCGGCGUGCCGGCCGAACUGUUGGGCCAGUCAAACCCCAGCCGCCCGAUACAUCCCUUCCCAACCGUCUGAUUGCUUUGUUUUAAAAGUCAAACACGCAGAAAAAAACACGCACAGGAAAUACAGAAAAAGGGCAGCAUGCGCACAUGCCAGAUCCAUGCGCUCGCAGGCCGCCCGCGAUAGUCCUCGUCUUCCCGUGCCUGCUUGCCACCAUUGCCACCGCGCCCGUCACCCGCGCUCGCCUGCCGCUUGCCUGCCGCUCGUGCCUGGCACUUGCCUCGACUACCUCUGCUCGUCAUGGUUGCAACUCGAACAUAAGAGGGUUCCAGCGCGCUGUUAUCAUGGUUGGAGCAUCCCCGACGUCCCUGUCUCCGGCUCGCCACCGUUGACAACUUGCACCGCCAUGUCUAGCAAAAAAGCAACAAAAACCUCCAUUGUUGGUUUGAAGCAAAAAGAUUUGCCGGUUCCAGCAAAAAAAUAAUGAUGGUUCCAGCAAAAAUCUCAACAGCACAAAAACUUCGGUAGUCGAUUUGUAGCAAACAAUUAGCUAGUUCCAGCAAAAAGAAACGUUGGUUCCAACAAAAAAUCAUGCCGCUUCGAGCAAGAAUGUUUGCUAGUUCCAGCAAAUUACAUGACAUUGUGAUGCAUGUUGGAUGUAGCAAUUGAGAACAUUGGUUGUAGCAAAAACUCAAACGGUGGUAGCAAAGAAAUUGAUGCACUGGUUCCCCCAAAAAAAACAUGGUAGCAAAAUAAUUGAUUGGUUCCAGCAAAAACCGAAGUUGGUUGUAGCAAAAAUGUAAAGUGGUUGUACCAAAAACAAAUGACAUGGUAGCAAAAAUUUGGGUUGGUUCCAUCAAAAAGAAACGAACAUGGUGGUAGCAAAAAAAUUGAUUGGUUCUAGCAAAAACUGAAGAUGGUGGUAGCAAAAUUGAAAACUGGUUGUACCAAAAAGCAAAUGACAUGGCAACAAAAUUUUGAGUUGGUUCCAAAAAAAUUACAUGGUGGUAGCAAAAUCUUACACUGGUUCCAGCAAAAAGCAAGGGCGUUGGCAGCAAAAAAUGGGGCUGCUUCCAUGCAAAGAAAAUGAUGGAUCUCCAUCACUUGUCGCCGUGGUUGCAACGCCCCAACACCGGCCGCCGCG